rnacentral:lncRNA from 1 species
AUUUCAGCUCCAGUAUUAUUUCCAUCGGUUCCCUCUUAUAAUUUCUCUUUGUUGAUAUCGCCUGUUUCUUUAUACAUGAUUGUUCUCUGGCUUCCUUUAGUUCUCUGCCCACGGUUUCCUUUAGCUGUUCAAGCAUAUUUAAGACAGUUCAUUUAAAGGCUUUGCCAUAGCAAGUCCAACGUCUGGGGUUCCUCAGGGAUGGUUUCUGUCAAUUUCUUUUUCCUGUGAAUGAGUCAUACUUUUCUUUUUCUUUGUAUGCCUUGUAAGGUUUGUUCUUAUUGCUUGUUAAGGGCUGCAGUCAUCCAUUUGUUUAGUGACAUUUCCAAACUCUUGUUGCAGACUGUAUUCCUUAUCAUGUGCAGUCACUGAGGUCUCUGUUCCAAUAUCUCAGUGGUCAGCCACUGACCUGACACACAUUUCCUUAAAUACUUGGAGCCAGAAAAACCCCAAAACUAGAAGCAACCUCUCCUGGUCUUUGCAGAUUGGGUCUAAACUGGGAACUCCUGCCGCUCUUAGCCAGGCCACCUAUAAGUCUGCCUUAGUCUUUAUUUCCUGCCUGCAUGGAGCACAGAGAUUAGCCAAAGAUGCAAGCCUAGGGUCCUCUCUGGUCUUUUCUGAGCACAUGUCCAGCCCUGGACACGUGUUGCAGUCUGGAUCCCCUGGUCUAUGAAGUAGCCCUUCAAGCCCCUAUUCCCCCAGUAUCUUCUUCCUCAGCCUCUUCCUUCCCAGGCUUUUUGGUCUGUCUGCUGUUCAUCCCUUCUGCCAUCCCCUACCCCACACAGCUGUGGGUGGUAUAUGUCUUUAAAUGCUUUCCACAGACACCACCUGGGAGGCUGCUGCAGUCUGAGAGGGCCAAAGCAAAGCUCAGCCUCUGCACCAGUCCUUCGGGGAACUGCCAGCCAAGUCAACAUGCACAACUGUUACUGAACCAAAGUGGGUUUGCUGCUUGGUGAGUUGAAAUCAAAGCCUGCACCAGAAGUAGUGGUCAUGCAAAAUAAGAUUUAUUUGCAGCAAAUAAAGACAACAGGAGGAAUCACUUCCAAAGUUGUGGCCCCUGAGCAAGGGAAAACAGGCCUCGGUGGGGUUCUGUCCUCACUGUGCACACUCUCCUUGGGGAACCCAGCCACGCCCAGAGCUGCCACCUCUCUGUUGAUGAAGCCCAGUGGUGAAUCUCCAACUUAGUCCUCUCUCCAGGGCCCCAGACAUGUGGACAACUGCCCAUGGGCUGCUCCACUCAGAAAUCCCACAGACCGCUCUAGGUGAAGCCGUGUAAGUAACUUCUGGUUAACAAGAUGGAAGAACGGCACGUCCUUACUCCCAUUCUUCUUGGUAUCUAGAUUAUGGAGGUGCUAGCCAGAGCCCAAGCGGCCAUCUUGGACCAUGAUGACUAUGAGGAUGGAGAAGCAGCAAAAUGGAAGGCGCUCUGUCUCCGAUGAUUGUGGGGCCACCAGCUUAGAAGUGCUCACCUCCUUACUUUGCCUCCGGGAGGGAAAACCAGCUUUUAUCUUGUUUAGCCCAUUGUUAUUUUGCGAUUCCUUCACAUGCUGCUAAACCAAAGCUUCCUUAAUACACAGAUCUUUUCAGCCCCGUUCUCCAUACACCAUGUGUUCCACCGGCCGUGCUAAACCACCUGCAGCCAUCUCUGCUUCCGUUCCUUUGCACGGCAUUUCUGCGAGGUGUUAUAAGGGUCUGUUCGCUUGUCUUCCUCACUGCCCGUGAACAUCUCUGCAGCAGAGGACCGUACCUUUCUUGGAUUCCUGCUUUGUGAUCAACUUCUUUAAGGCAAGAAAGGGAGGGAGAGGGAAUGGACAUUUACUGGGUCCCACUUAUGUGGGCUUUACAUUUUAUUUGCCUUUUAAUUGUUGGAGCAAGUCUGUAAGGGGCGCGGCAUUAUUGCUGCUCUUUCACAGACGAGGAAAGGGAGGUUCAGAAAGGCCAAGCUGUUUCCCAAGUGUGCGUGGAUAACGAGCGGCAGAACUAAAUGUGGAACUCCAGUCUGUCUGACCUGAUGCAGCAGCUCUCUCCACCCCACCUAGAAGGUGCCGUGUCAGUGCAUGGGCUGGGCUGUGGCUGAGUGACCUUUGAUGAAUUAAUUCCCCUCCUGGUUCUCCUUUGAGGUCGUCACUCUCAGCUGCUUUUCACAUGCUGGUUGCUAAGGGGUGAGUAAGCGCCUGCCUGAACCUGACCUCAGUUGGGUAAGGGAUGGCCUCUGCUUCGGGUUUUAGUGUUCAGAGGAUUGUUUUUUCUUUUAACACAGUUUAGAAACCAAAGACUGCCUGGGAGACAGUGUGAGGCAGUGGAAACCACAUGAACUUUAGAACCAGAUGCCCCUGGGUUUGAAAUCCACCUCUUCCACUUAUUUGCUGCAUGACCCCGGGGCAAUAACUUAACCUCAGUGGGCCUCGGUUUUCUCAUUUGGGAAGGAAUAUAAUGAUCUCCCUCCGAGGAACAUGGAGAAAAUUAAAAGAGAAAUAGGAGAAAAGUGACAGGAGCCCAGCUGACGCUCAAUGAAUGCUGGUUGUCUUCCCGCCCCUUCCUCUCUCCUCUAUUUUACCUCGAGUUUUGAUUUGUCUUGGUUGACAUGGAAAUGACAGACUGUAUUACCGUUCACCAAUAUUCUGCCCCCUCACUUUCGGGGCAUCAUACAUUUCUUUUGAGCAUGUGACUGGCCAUGUGACUUUGGCCAAUGUCGACAGAAGUGCUUCACGGCAGCUCUGAGAUCCUGGGCACGCUUCACUCCACUCUCGUGUCCCUUUUGCAGGAGACCAGCUGUGUUCCAGAUGGAGGCUGCUCCACUAGGCUGGUCCUCAGCUACCACGUGAAGGACAUGUCCCCUGAGCAAUAAAUAAACCUUCCUUGACUUCAGCCCUUGAGACUGGGAGUCAUUUGUUACUGCCGCCUAGCCUAGCCUGAUCUGAUUCAUCUGUUUGACAUUUAGCAUCUUAUAGUUCCAUGCAAUAUUUUUCUUUUUAAGCUUUUCUAAAAGAUUUAUUUACUGCAUUAAUGUUUUUGGUGGUGGGUACUUCAAAAACAGUCAUUUUUCUUGUUAUAAAGUUUGUAUACUUUGUAAGAAAUUUAGAAAAUACAGAAAAGUAAAUAGAAGAAAAGAAAAAUCACCCACUAACAUUUUCCUUCUUCUGUCUUAUAUCUUUUUUUCCACUAUUUCUUUUGGAAAUUUUCUUAAGUGAGAGUUUGGUAGGAAUUUUUGAAGUUGGAAGGCCUUGCUUAUUGUGAAAAGGAGAUGAACAGAAGGAUAGAUGAACCCUAACAAUGUCAGGCCUUCUCCAUGGGCACCACGGAGUGAGCCUGGAGCCGUUUCUUUGCCACGGGCCAUGCAGAGCCACGUUCCAUGGCAUUCCAUGUCCAAAUAAUUUCACCAAUAGGCUUCUAGGACAGAGCCGGUCUGCCUGGCAUGAAACCCAGCCGUGGGCCGGGUGCCGGCAACAGAUCUGCAGGCAUUGCCGGUCAUGAAUGACACUGUGACACUGUGGACAGAAGGGCUGCUUGAAGGACACCCUGGAGCAGCUCUUACCUCGACAGGGCUUCGCCAGUACGUCUAGGAAUUGCCAGCAAUUGCCUGAAAGAGUCCGUUCAAUUCACCCAACAACAUGACGUUGCCGGCGUUUCUCUGCGCCGUAGCUGGGAUGGUCUCCUUGCCCCUUGGAGGAGGUCUGCAUUAUUUUAAGGAGCUCUUAGGUUGUCUGGUCUCACCUUUUCAAUAAUUUAAGCCAGCAAUUCUCAACUGUUUGGUUUCACUGUUCCUUUAAGCUAUUCAAACUGAGGACUCCAAAAAGCUUUUAUGUGGGUUACAUCUACCAAUAUUUACUGUAUUAGAAAUCAAAACCGAGAAAUUUUUUAAAAUAAUAAUUCAUUUAAAAGUAAUAACAACCAAUGACAUGUUAACAUAACAUUUUUAUGAAAAAGAACUAUUUUGCAAAAAAAAUUUAGUGAGAAAAGUGGCCUCGUUUUACAUUUGUGGGAGGCAGAAUAACGGCCCCCAAAGAUAUCCCCUGGAACCUGUGAAUAUGUUACUUUAAAGGGCAAAGGGGACUUUAAAGAUUGGGGUUGAGGACCUUGAGGUAGGGAGGUGGCCCGGGUUAUCCAGGCGGGCUCAAUCACGUGACUCCUUGAAGUGGAGAACUUCCCCAGCUGCGGUUGGAAGGAGGCAAGACUGCUAAAGAAGAGUCAGAGGGAGACGCGACGUCGCUGGCUUUGAUGAUGGAGGAAGGGGACCACGAGCCAAGGAAUGAGCGUGGCCUCCAGAAGCUGUCCAAGGCAAGGACACAGAUUCUUCACUAGCACCUCGAAAAAGGAGCAGAGUUUUGUGACACCUCGAUGUCAGCCCAAGGAGACCUGUGUUGGCUUCUGACGUCAGACCUCUAAGAUAAUAAGUGUGUGUUAGUUGUUAAGCCACUAAGUUUGUGGAAUAUUUUUAUAGCAGCUGUAGAGAACAAAUAGAACGUUUUUGCAAAUCUCUUUAAUAUCCAGCUUAAUAGAAGCAAGCUGGAUUCUCACGUGCUUCUGCAUUCAAUCUGUUGUGUUAUAAUGCUUUGGUUGAAGUACAUGAAGAAAAUCUGGCCUUUACAUAGAUUUAAAGUUGGAAACAUAAGAGUAUUUUAAUAGCCUUUCCAGAUCAUUGUGCACCAAAUUUAACUAUAAUUUCUCAGAGUUUAGUUGCAGGGUGGAACUGGAAAUCAUAUCGAUGAACUUCUCCUGUCUGUUAGGUUAAAACCCACCUAUCUAUCUUGCACUUUGAAUGACUCUUUUACCCAUGCAUGAUUUUAUAACAUCAUGUAUUGAUUAUUUAGAAAAACCUCGGUUCACUGAAUUAUGCAGAUCUUCCAAAUGUUGACACAUUUCGUUAUACAAUGUAAAACAGCAGAUUUGUUAAUAUCACCACCAAUCUCAUCUGAAAGAUCUUCAAGUAUUAUAAAGAUAUCAAACUCACCAUGGCAGACACAAGUUUUCUGGAAUUCUCAUUUUCACUUGAAAGCUCAAAGUUUCUCAUUAGCAACAAAUACCAUCAGUUGUUUCCCUUAAAACGACAGGCUCGCUUUGUUCAUUUUCAAGAAAAUGCCUACCAAAUACACAAGGCUCAGUAACCUGAGGUUGUCUGUCAUACUUUCAAGCAAAAAUGUUCUACAGAAAAAGCAGCUGGUCCAGCUUACACAUAAGCGUA